rnacentral:rRNA from 1 species
GAUGAACGCUGGCGGCGUGCUUAACACAUGCAAGUCGAACGGAAAGGCCACAGCUUUCUGUGUUACUCGAGUGGCGAACGGGUGAGUAACACGUGGGUGAUCUGCCCUGUACUUCGGGAUAAGAUUGGGUAACUGGGUCUACUACCGGAUAGGAAUCACAUGUGGGUGAGUGGUUGGACAGCUUUUGCGGUAUGGGUUGAGCUCGCGGCCUAUCAGCUUGUUGGUGGGGUAAUGGCCUACCAAGGCGUCGACGGGUAGCCGGCCUGGGAGGGUGUACGGCCUCAAUGGGCCUGAGGUACGGCCCAGACUCCUACGGGAGGCAGAAGUGGGGAAUAUUGCACAAUGGGCGCAAGCCUGAUGCAGCGACGCUGCGUGGGGGAUGACGUCCUUCGGGUUAUAAACUCCUUUCGUCAGAGACGAAGCGAAAGUGACGUUACCUGGAUAAGAAGCACCGGCUAACUACGUG